UACGGAAGGUCCGGGCGUUAUCCGGAUUUAUUGGGUUUAAAGGGAGCGUAGGCCGGAGAUUAAGCGUGUUGUGAAAUGUAGACGCUCAACGUCUGCACUGCAGCGCGAACUGGUUUCCUUGAGUACGCACAAAGUGGGCGGAAUUCGUGGUGUAGCGGUGAAAUGCUUAGAUAUCACGAAGAACUCCGAUUGCGAAGGCAGCUCACUGGAGUGCAACUGACGCUGAAGCUCGAAAGUGCGGGUAUCGAACAGG
rnacentral:rRNA from 1 species